CUUUCUAUUUAUACUAGCUUCCAUAUCGACAUGUCAUUCUCACGAAUUAACAUAUAUUUUAUGUACGUAAUAAAGAAGAAGGUGAGAGAGAGUGGGCCGUAUUUCUACGCGCGACCGUACAAACGUACGCGUACAUUCGUAAGGUCUCCACUUACGUUAUUUUAAUUUCCCCAGGGUACAAUGUUCUUUGUACUCGCGCUAAUGAUCGCUACGAGCUCUCUCGCAAUAAUGCGACAGAUAUUUCCUUAGCUUUAAAAUUAUUCGAAACUCGUAGUCGACGAGUGAACGGGACCAUAGAAAAUCAAGUAUUUACGUAUUUCUUAAAUAAUAUCAAUAACGAUGAUGAGUGGCUGAUAAAAUAAAACUAAGAAAAAUAUGACAAAAAUUGGUCCCAUUGAUUUUUUCGAGACUGGAUCUUCGUCCAUGGUGAGAUAGAUGGGUAUAUCGGUAAAAAGACAUUUACCUUCUCCACCCUGUUUUGUCUCUUUGUUAGGCGCGCGCGUGCGUGAAAAGGGAAAGGCGCGGAUGGUGUUGGCCGAAGAGAGACGGAGGAGGAGGAGGAGGAGGAGGAGGAAGAAAAGACGGUGCGUCGACUCGGUGGUGGGGGUGGGGCGUCGCGACGCCAGGCGUCGCUGGCGUCGAGCCGGCGACGUAUCGUCGACUCGAGCGUGUCGUGUGCCGCCGUCGUCGUCGUCGUCGUUGUCGUUGUCGUUGUCGUUGUCGUUGUCGUCGUCGUCGUCGUCGUCGUCGUCGUCGUCGUCUUAAUCGUCGUCUCUUCGGGAUUAGUGCGUGUCUUUCGUUUUAGAUCUAACAACGAUCUUUUCGUCAAACGAGAUAGAAAGAGAAAGAAAGAGAGAGAGAGAGAGAGAGAGAGAGAGAGAGAGCGAGCGAGCGAGCGAGCGAGCGAGAGAGAGAGAGAAGCUCGCUAAGCUUUCCAAGUCUCUCUUUUCUUUUUGCGGCAUUUCUUUCUCUGCCCGCCACCGAAAGUACUUCCUUUUGAAAGAGAAAGAGAGGGAGAGGGAGAGAGACAAACUGAGAGAGAGAGAGAGAGGAAGAAAAAGACGUACAUAUUCGUAGGGUGCACUGGCCGACAGAGAGACAAGUAAAGGGACGUUGACGUGUGCGUCGGAGAGAACUAGAGAUAGAGAUAAGAAAAGAAUGGAUUUACGAAGAAACACGGACCGCGUACGAUAAUACUACCUCGACAUAGUUCUGCAAUCCGCCCUCGUGCGCGUCCACGGCGGAUCCGGAAGGAGGCGCGCUCGAAGGGAAAGAAUAGGGAGAGGUAAAUUCGCGCACCAUUAACGAGCCUCUCUUCACGGAAACGAUCGAGCUCGCGCGCCAACCGAUUUAGGAUCGUACCGGCCGACCAAUCGACCGACCGACCGACCGACAGACCGACCGACCGACAGACCGACAAACCAAACGACCGAAAGAACAAGAGGAGUGAACACGGUGCGAUAAACUACCCUGUAGUGCCGCGAACACGUCCAACUUCCAAGCUGUCUUCGUCGCCACCUCUUCUCUCGUUUCUCUUUUCACGCGUGUAUAUAUAUAUACAUACAUAUAUAUAUAUAUAUAUAUAUAUAUAUAUAUAUAUAUAUAUGUAUACGCGUACUGCUCACGUAUACGUUGGUACAUAUAUAUAAAUAUAAUCGAACGUACCCAGAUAUCUAUUUAUAAGUUUACACGAGAGAGCGAGAACAAGAGAUAGAUAGAGAGUAGCGACGACGAUCGUGACGUUGCUCGCUACUGGUGCUAGUGCUACGUUAUCUUUGGCGUGCCGUUUGUGAUGAUGAUGAUGAUGAUGAUGAUGGUGGUGUUGGUGAUGACGAUGGUGGUACGUCCUUAAGAAGAAAGAAUUCGUCGGUGCGAGAGCUUACGUGAAACACGAGAAAAAGUAGAAAAGAAGGCAAGUUCCGGUUACACGCUCGAAACGUCUUUAUUUUUCUUCGACGACGCUCUUUCUUCUCGUGAGAGAAAAACGAAGAGGAUAAAAAGUCAUCUUCUAUCCUAGUAUUAGAAGAGAGGACGCGAAUCGAGCGCGAACGACAUCGCGUUUAAGACGGAUAUGAGGAGCGGAUACGCCCGGCUCACGUGAUACGCACACUAUCGUCUCUACUACCGACGGUUCUCUCUUCCAAAGAUAUGCGGUCAGGGAGGAAAGUUCGUAGGAGCCCAGUGCCGUAGCAUGCCGGCGUGCUGGGUGAGCUGUUGGUGCGCCAUUGAGUCCGCCGUGGUGGUAAGACAGUAUCUCGAGGAGGGUAGUCGAAGCAGUAGCAGCAGGAGCAGGAGGAGGAGGAGAAGAAGAAGAAGAAGAAGGAGCGAUCUCGGCUGGAGAAGCAGCACGGAGCUCGACACUACCGACCGAUGAGCGCGGGGGGGGAUGGGGGCUCGGCGUUGGCUCCGUCAGGGCUGCCGGGCUCCCAGCCGAUGGCCGCGACCCCCUCGACCGCGACCCCCCCCGUCACCGGGCAGCACCAGCAGAUCGGACUAUCGGCCGUCGUCGAUCCUCAUCAGGCCCGUUCACAGACGGGCCCUGCCGGUCCCACUGGUCCUUCUACCGGCGCUCCGGCCGGUGCUGCUCCCAAGGCCGCGACCAAGAGGCCCGCCCGCCGUGCUGGCAAACCGCCACCCGACAGGCCUAUCAGGGCUCUCUUUUGCCUGCCCCUCCAAAAUCCCAUAAGAAAGCUCUGCAUCGGCGUCGUCGAAUGGAAACCCUUCGAAUGGCUCAUCUUAAUGACGAUAUUUGCAAAUUGCAUCGCCUUGGCCUUCUACACGCCGUAUCCAUUCGGUGAUUCUAAUCAGACCAACCAGUAUUUGGAAAAGAUAGAAUACGUAUUUCUCGUCAUUUUUACGGCCGAGUGCAUAAUGAAGAUCAUAGCCUACGGAUUCGUCGCCCAUCCGGGCGCUUAUCUGCGCAACGGCUGGAACGUGCUGGACUUUACGAUAGUCGUCAUAGGAAUGAUGAGCACGGUAUUGGCGAUGCUUAUGAAAGAAGGAUUCGACGUUAAGGCGUUGAGGGCUUUUCGAGUGUUACGACCUCUCAGGCUGGUUUCCGGUGUACCAAGUCUUCAGGUGGUCCUAAACUCCAUUUUAAGAGCGAUGAUACCGCUUUUGCACAUUGCCUUGUUGGUUCUCUUCGUCAUCAUCAUCUACGCUAUCAUCGGCCUCGAGCUCUUUUCCGGGAAGAUGCACAAGACGUGUAGACACAACGUGACUGAUGAACUAAUGAGCGAUCCCGUUCCCUGUGGUCCUAUGGGUUUUCAGUGCAGUACCCUCGGACCCGAUUUCUACUGCAGCAAUCAAUUUUGGGAAGGUCCGAACGAUGGCAUCACGAACUUCGAUAAUUUUGGUUUGGCCAUGCUCACAGUCUUUCAAUGCAUCACCCUAGAGGGUUGGACCGAAGUACUUUACAACAUAGAAGAUGCGAUGGGAAGUUCUUGGCAAUGGAUUUAUUUUAUUUCCAUGGUUAUACUUGGAGCCUUCUUCGUGAUGAAUCUAAUUCUCGGUGUGUUGUCUGGUGAGUUCUCAAAGGAAAGAGAGAAGGCAAAGGCUCGGGGUGACUUUCACAAGCUCAGGGAGAAACAGCAAAUCGAGGACGAUCUCAGAGGAUAUCUCGAUUGGAUAACGCAAGCCGAGGAUAUCGAGCCGGAAGCCGACGAGCCCAAAGCACAAGAUGGAAAGUCGAAACAACAAAACGAAAUGGAGAGCACGGAUCAAUUGGAGGGCGACGAGGAAGGGAUCCAACAGGAACCCGUUUGGAAGAGAAAGAAGAGAGAUUUAGACAGGGUGAAUCGACGAUUGCGACGAGCCUGUAGAAAAGCCGUGAAAUCGCAGGCCUUUUAUUGGCUCAUCAUAGUGCUCGUUUUUUUAAACACCGUAGUUCUCGCGACCGAGCAUUACAAUCAACCGCAUUGGUUGGACGAUUUUCAAGAGAUCACCAAUAUGUUUUUCAUCGCUCUCUUCUCCAUGGAGAUGAUACUGAAGAUGUACAGUUUAGGGUUUCAGGGUUACUUCGUCUCUUUGUUCAAUCGUUUCGAUUGUUUCGUCGUGAUCGGCUCGAUAACCGAGAUGAUCCUUACGAACACGAACGUAAUGCCGCCUCUCGGAGUUUCCGUGCUCCGUUGCGUCAGACUAUUGAGAGUAUUCAAAGUAACAAAAUAUUGGAGAUCGCUCUCCAACUUGGUGGCUUCUUUGUUGAAUUCGAUUCAAUCGAUCGCCUCUCUCUUACUUUUGCUCUUCCUCUUCAUCGUAAUUUUUGCACUCUUAGGAAUGCAGGUUUUCGGUGGAAAGUUUAAUUUCGCCGAUCUCCAGGACAAACCAAGGCACAAUUUUGAUAGUUUUUGGCAAAGCUUACUCACCGUCUUUCAGAUAUUAACCGGUGAGGACUGGAAUGCGGUAAUGUACGUUGGAAUUCGAGCUUACGGGGGCGUUUCUAGUCCCGGCGUUAUAGCCUGCACUUACUUCAUUGUUCUCUUCAUAUGCGGUAACUAUAUCCUCCUGAACGUCUUCUUGGCCAUCGCGGUUGACAAUCUCGCAGAUGCGGAAUCGUUAACGGCCAUUGAGAAGGAGGCCGAAGAGGAGGCGGAGAAGAACAAAUCUCACAGUGGGUCGCCGGCGAGAGACGAGAUCAGUGGUGAAGCUGGAGAUGGCGGAGAAACUGGCGGCGAAGACGAGGGUGGUGCUACGGAUAUGGAGCACGAUCCUAAUGAGACAAUGGAGGAUUACGAGGCUGCUUUGGACACUGAAACAUCGGAGAAGAGCGACGACGGGAACACGCACAAAGUUCGUUUAAAUAUCGAAAUAUCGGACGAGGAAGCGGAGGAGGAAGAGGCCGAGCAGAACGAGAUACAUGAAGAAGGACAAGAAGUAUCGGCCAGGCCACGAAGAAUGUCCGAGUACAACACGGCUACGAAAAAGCAACCCAUCCCGCCGGGUUCCUCCUUUUUUAUUUUUUCUCAAAACAACAGAUUUCGAGUAUUUUGUCAUUGGCUUUGUAAUCACAGCUACUUCGGUAAUGUGAUCUUAGCCUGCAUCAUGAUAUCGUCGGCCAUGUUGGCUGCCGAGGAUCCAUUAAGUUCUUCUUCAUACAGAAAUCAGAUCCUGAAUUACUUCGAUUAUUUCUUUACUAGCGUUUUCACGAUCGAGAUCUGCCUGAAGAUGAUAUCCUACGGAUUUGUUAUUCACGACGGUGCUUUCUGCCGAUCGGCCUUCAAUCUACUCGACCUUCUUGUCGUCUGCGUAUCCCUCGUUUCUAUAGUCUGGAGUUCUGGCGCUAUAUCGGUGGUGAAGAUACUCAGGGUGUUGCGCGUUCUCAGACCGUUGCGCGCCAUCAACCGUGCCAAGGGAUUAAAGCACGUAGUACAAUGCGUCAUCGUAGCGGUAAAGACUAUCGGAAACAUAGUCCUCGUCACCAGCCUCCUGCAGUUCGUGUUCGCCGUCAUAGGCGUACAACUUUUCAAGGGCAAGUUUUUCUAUUGUACCGAUGCAUCGAAAAUGACGAAGGAAGAAUGCCAGGGUACUUAUCUGGAAUUCGAGAAUGGCAAUAUCAAUAGGCCCGUCGUUAGAGAAAGAGAGUGGGAGCAACGUCGUUUCCACUUUGAUGAUGUUGCCAAGGCAAUGCUGACCCUCUUUACGGUUUCAACAUUCGAAGGUUGGCCAGGCCUUUUGAAUUGGUCGAUCGAUUCGAACAAGGAAGAUCACGGACCGAUUCACAACUUUCGGCCGAUCGUGGCCGCCUACUACAUCAUCUACAUCAUCAUCAUAGCAUUUUUCAUGGUCAACAUCUUCGUGGGUUUCGUCAUUGUCACCUUUCAGAACGAGGGUGAACAAGAGUAUAAAAAUUGCGAGCUCGAUAAGAAUCAGCGGAACUGUAUCGAGUUCGCGUUGAAAGCGAAACCCGUUCGACGAUAUAUACCGAAGCAUCGAAUACAAUACAAAGUUUGGUGGUUCGUCACUUCUCAACCGUUUGAAUAUACGAUAUUCACAUUGAUCAUGAUAAAUACCGUCACCCUUGCGAUGAAGUUCUAUCAGCAACCAACGCUAUACACCGAAGUUCUCGACGUGCUCAAUAUGAUUUUCACCGCAGUGUUCGCCCUCGAGUUCGUCUUCAAACUCGCAGCUUUUCGAUUCAAGAAUUACUUUGGCGAUGCCUGGAACGUAUUUGACUUCAUUAUCGUUCUCGGAAGUUUCAUCGACAUCGUGUACUCGGAAGUUAACCCCGGCUCGACCAUCAUUUCUAUUAAUUUCUUUCGACUAUUUCGAGUGAUGCGCCUCGUUAAACUGUUGAGCAGAGGAGAGGGCAUAAGAACGCUUCUUUGGACCUUUAUUAAAUCCUUCCAGGCUCUACCCUACGUAGCCCUUCUUAUAAUAAUGCUUUUUUUCAUCUACGCGGUAAUAGGCAUGCAGGUAUUCGGAAAGAUCGCGAUAGACGACGAAACGUCUAUAUAUCGUAACAACAACUUUCAAUCGUUUCCCCAAGCAGUCCUCGUAUUAUUCAGAUCUGCGACGGGUGAAUCUUGGCAAGAGAUCAUGAUGGACUGUUCCGCUCAACCGAGCAAAGUAAAGUGCGAUCCAAACAGCGACGAAUAUAACAAUCCAUCCGGUUGCGGAUCGGACAUAGCAUUUCCUUACUUCAUAUCAUUCUACGUUCUCUGUUCCUUUCUGAUAAUCAAUCUAUUCGUUGCCGUCAUUAUGGACAACUUUGAUUACCUGACGAGAGACUGGUCGAUAUUGGGACCGCAUCAUUUGGACGAGUUUAUUCGUUUAUGGUCCGAAUACGAUCCCGACGCGAAAGGUCGUAUCAAGCAUCUCGACGUUGUAACGCUCCUACGAAAAAUAUCACCACCCUUGGGUUUCGGUAAACUAUGUCCGCACAGGGUCGCCUGCAAGAGGCUGGUUUCGAUGAACAUGCCGUUGAACAGCGACGGCACGGUCCUUUUUAAUGCGACCCUAUUCGCCGUUGUAAGAACAUCACUGAGGAUUAAAACGGAAGGAAACAUCGACGAUGCUAACGCCGAACUUAGAGCCGUGAUUAAGAAGAUUUGGAAGAGAACCAGUCCAAAACUUUUAGACCAAGUCGUACCACCGCCUGGAGUCGACGACGAGGUAACGGUCGGCAAGUUUUACGCGACUUUCCUCAUCCAGGAUUACUUUCGUAGAUUCAAGAAACGCAAAGAACAGGAAAUGAGAGAGGGUGACAAGGAAUGUCAUAAUACGGUAACGCUACAGGCUGGCUUGAGAACUUUGCACGAAGCAGGUCCCGAAUUGAAGAGAGCGAUUUCUGGUAAUUUGGAAGAGCUUAUGGAUGACAAUCCGGAACCUACGCACAGGAGAAAUCAUUCGCUCUUUGGUAGCGUCUGGUCAAGCAUGCGUAAAGGACAUCACAGCUUCCACAGAGCGAGGUCGCUCAAAGUGAACUCCAAGGCUUCCCCCACAAAUUCCAUAGACUUUCUGUCGUAUUCCUCUUUGCAGAGGGGCGUCGGAUCAGACGCUCCUAAUCAAAUCACCGCAAGAUCUCAUCAAGUCGUGCCAAACGUAGCUGGUGGUCUAAGCGACAGUGCGAUGAACCAAAUGGGAAUGGACCCGAGAUUAACUGGCGUCGAAGAAAAUAUUCCUUUGAGACCUCUCGCCGUCUUUGGCAAUACUACGCAACGUUCAGCCUAUCAUAGCUCUUACAAAAUGGUCGGUCUUCAGGACGGAGUCGAGCGGCAGUUGACGCCACCUACCCCUCCGCCACGAAGGAUACCAGGACAGAGCACUAGCAACACCGUUACGAGCAUCGGCACGACCCACCCUACCACCGCCGUCACUGACACAGUCGUCACAGCCGUCACGGGAACGAGCGCAAACACCUCGACUACCGCGACCAGCCCCACUUCCUCUUCGAAUGGCACCAAUCGUUACUAUACCUAUGCGACGGGGGGCUGCUGCGUCGAUUGUGCCGUCUGGAGCAAUCACGAAAUGCGAGAAGACAACGAAUUCGAUCUCGUACCGGACACGAGCGUGGCCGUAGACGAUCAGGAGGAAGAAGAGGAGGAUGAGGAGGAGGAGGAGGAGGAGGAAGAGGAGGAGGAUGAGGAGGAGGAGGGAGAAGAGGAGGAGGAAGAGGAGGAGGAGGAGGAGGAGGAGGAGGACGACGAGGAGGAGGAGGAGGAAUCGUCGAUCGCAAGUGGUACCAGCGAUUCCUGCACGUGGAACAACUCCGAGGGUGGUGCACGUCCAAUGGCAAAAUCACCAUUGUCCGCGGGAAAUAUAAAGAGAACGAUGAGUCCGACGUUGCGGCCUGCGGCUGCGGCGGCGGCGACGACGACGAUGCAAAUACGCAAAUUUGGAAGUGAACGAGCACGAGAACAUGGACGAAUUGCGGCUGGACUGUUGAGACCGAGCAUCCUGUUCGCACGGUCGCGACGUCAGAGCGACACCAGCGGAAAAUCGGCCCCGUCUAGUUUCCGUAGAUGUCGCGAGGCCGUUUCCGAAGCGGCCGACGGGACUGCGAGCGAUCCUCCGAGCGACCCUCCGAGCGACCCGCCGAGCGACGCCGUCGAAGGGACCAUCGAGGGGACCAUCGGAAGCCUCGCCAACGGCCUCAAAAUGGCGCAGACUCAGGCGAUCACCGUUGCCGGUUUCAUCGCCGACGUCGACUCGCGUCAAUGGCGCGUCUGCGAGUCCUGCUUCUCCCACCGAGCCUCCUUCCACGGCAGAGUUCCAUCCUGGGCCGGGGAGAGCAACGGAAGCGUCGGAGCCGAACGGCUUUCUCAUAGUUUGCCUGGUAGUCCUGCCGAUCGAAAGCCGAACUUCGAAGUGAUCGGAAGCGCCGAGAGUUUGGUCGGACGGGUGCUCGUUGAACAAGGACUGGGCAAGUAUUGCGAUCCAGAUUUCGUGAGGUACACGUCUCGCGAGAUGCAGGAGGCUUUGGACAUGACGCGUGAGGAGAUGGAUCGAGCGGCUCAUCAGUUGCUUUUGCAAGAGCGACGCAGUCAAUCGUUCAGGUAUCAUCAGCAGCAACCACAGCAGCCACAACAGCAGCAACAGCCUGACAUGGACCAACAGUGGAAUCCCGCGUAUCAGCAGACGAUCGGAAUAGGUUAUCAGCCCUUGCAGGAGCAACCACCGAGUGAUACGCAGCGAACGUUCCAUCAUCAGCCGAGCUACCAUCGUCAAGGACAACAGCAGCAACCACCCUCUUAGCAGCAGGAAGACGAUCGCUCGGUCAAGAGAAUUCCGUCUACGUAGCCUCGAGUUCGAACACUCCUUUCAGACCGGUCCAAGUCGCGAGCCGUUCGAUCUUCCUCCGAUCGAGAGAGAGAGAGAGAAAGAGAGAGAGAGAGAGAGAGAGAGAGAGAGAGAGAGGGAGAGAGAGAGAGAGAGAGAGAGAAUACUUUUCACUGAUCAUUUCACACUCGUACGAGACGCGACCGUUGUCUACCACACUACCCAAAAAAAGCCCCUUUUCUACUUUCCGAAUAUUUUUAUCGAUCGAUCGACGAGAAUCCACUUUUCUUCGGAUUUCGACGGCACAUUCGAUUUUCGAGGAAGCACAGAAUGACGGAUCGCGCGUUAGGGAGCGCGCGAGAGAUUUUACACGAAAGAAGGAUGGAACGUUCAUAUUACGUAUCUGAAGUGAAAUUUCGACCCAGAAAACACACACACACACACACACACUCGUACGCGCUCGAGCAUACGAAGCCUUCUCUUAUACACACGUAUAGACUCCUAAAUAGUCUUAUUCGGCAAAAGCGAGAUGAACAAGAGGAAGAGAAAGAGGAGAAGGAGAGGGAGAGGAAAAGGAGGAAGAAGGAAGGAAGAAAAGUUCUAACGAAGAAAAAUAUGGGCGCAAAGAGAAAAGAUACAUGGCAGAUUUUUCAAUAUAAAUCGUUCAAAGAUCCGCUCCCGUUUCCUCUGACGCACAAAGUUUACUCGGAAAAUCGAAGAAUAGCGCGAUUGGUGUCCUAGAAUCAUUAUUCUUGGUAGACGCGUAAGACGUUUUUUCUUCGAUUUUUAAAUAUCCGAUCACGAAAUAAUCACGUUAAUCGUUUUAUCGCGUCUACGUUGCGCACAUCUACGUACCGCUUAAUUAUCGCCGAUGAAAAAAGAAAAAUGAAAAAGGAGAUGAAGAAAAUCAAAAAAGAGGGGUGGAAAAAAAAGGGAAAGAGAUAAGAGAAACGAUGCGACGCGGAAGUCGCAUUCGAUACUUUGUUUUAACGCAACCCAAACGCAAGUUCGACGUAUUCGUAUAUAACGAACGCGCUAACACGCUCCAUUUAUUUUCAUUGGCCCGACGAUGAAUAAUGUCAUAUAUGUAUGUAUGUAUGCGAUCGAAUCAUUGAACAUUUCGACAUGACGAUGGCGUAGCGAUCGUCAACGAAAUGGCGCUACUACUUCGCGAUCGUUAUGUCAUAUUCUCAUCUCUCGACCGUUUCUUUUCACACCUUGACAACGAAAAUCUCAUCGCAUAUAACGUAAAAUUCUAAUUAAUCGCGAAACUUGGUACGCACCUAUGUGGCAUGUACCAUCUAUCUAUCUAUAGAUACUAUAAAAGAUGUGAAACGUCGAGAUGCGACGACUUUGCGAAUUCGAGGCGGAUGGGGGAAAAAAAAAAAAAAAAGAAAAAACAAAUGUUUAUUCUAAAUCUUUGCGAUCGUUGGACCAUUCAGACUCGCUUUAAAAAUUCUGGACAAUAUCCUUUGGUGAAUGUCGAAGCGAUUCAAUCCUGUCUAGUGCCUUUCGUAAUUCUCCCUCUUCGGUUCUCCCAUUAGCACACACUUGAUGUUAAACCUUAUUCUUUUUUUUUAGUUUUCUAUCGUACCGAUUAUAAUAUUAUGAUGUCCAGAGGAGAGAACAGUUACGACGAUCGAAGAGCAAUAUCGCCGCGUCAGUCUCCACGAUUCUCUUAACGGAACUAAUCGCGAUCCGAUUAAAAAAAGAAAAAAAAGGAACGAUUUACAGAAGUAAAAAGAGAAACGAAUUAAAAAACAAAAACGGAUCGAGUAGUCUAAGAUGAUCGCGAGCCAUUGCUUAUACAUACAUAUGUAUUAUAGACUUGAUCUUUCGUAUAUCCGUUUUUUGGACAUCUUUCUAAUAAUCUCGUACUUGUCUAUAACCGUCUUUUUAUACCUAAACUAUCUUAAAAAAUGAACUUUAUACAGAAAAGUAGAUUACGCGCGCGACACGUUCUCUUGAACUUUCUAAUAAAAAUUCGUAAUCGUCGAUGUUUAGAUAGCUACCAACAAGAUUUUUUACGUCGCCGAUAAACACUGCGUUUUAAAUGUGAUAAAAACCAGACGCGGAGAGGACCCAUAAGGAGGAAGGAGUAGAAGGAGGAAGCGCGAUACGAGCGUACGAUCUCUUUCUUUUUUUUCUUUUUUUCUUUUUUCUUUUGCUCUCUUCAUCAUUGCCGAUUUCAAUGUACGACGAAAUAAUUACACAAAUUAGUCGGGAGCACACUUUUGAAAGAUCGCACAAAUCAUUCCGCGUUUCUCUAACGAAUCGGACGAAACGCGUCGUAUUUAUCCUCUAUUAUUUAGAUAUUUUUGAUACGACUAAAGUAUAAUAGAAUCGUCUUCUCGUGAUUUCGCUAGCAGAGAGAUAGACCGAGAGAGAGAGAGAGAGAGAGAGAGAGAGAGAGAGAGAGAGAGAGAAUAAAUCGCAUCGUUGAUCCGUUCGCUUAAAAAGAAUAUAAUGCUGGCCGACAAGAGAAUCGUGGAGAACUUAUAAAAGGAUGAAGUUUUACACAAAGUUUAGCACGAACGAAAGAAAAUUUGGAAAGAAUCGCUAAGGCGUCAGAGAUUGUAAUCGUCGUCGUUUUCUUUCUUGAUUGAAGCCCUUUGUCUUUUAUGCGCAAUUACAAAAGUUCGACCGUACGAUAACGUUUUUAAAAGCACAAUAUUACGAGAUUGUAUAACGCUAAAACACGAGAAUAUAUAGGCGAGCAGUCUAGCGUGGACGAUCGUCCGAAUAUUUUCGUGAAGGAAACGUAGAAGAAAGGUGAUAUAAUCAUUUGGCAUCGAUGCACGCGCACACACACACACACACUUCUUCCUCGACGACAUUGUCCUUAGACGUUCUCAUCGUCGACACGAGAGACGUUAUGUCCUUAUAGCGUAAAGAGUAUGCGUGUGUAUGUGUGUAUUUAUAUAUAAAUAUAUGCACGCAUCAUACACACAUAUAUAUGUAUAAGUUAUGUAAAGUUGCAAUCAAAGUUUUACCAGGGCGUUCAUAUAAAUGAAUCACCUUGAUCGUUUCGAGAUUGCUUGGAAUAUCGAGAAAUCGUACAUACACCGAAUCUUUCAUCGUUCGAAAAGAAGGAAGCACCUUUCCCGCUCAGGCUCGCUCUCUCUCGCUCUCGCUCUCUCUCUCUCUCUCUCUCUCUCUCUCUCUCUCUCUCUCUCUCUCUCUCUUCGUCAUCCACGUCUUUUUGAUAUAAAAGAAAUAUUUCGAAGUAUCUUACGCACGAACUAUCUUUGUAAACGAACGAUGAAUCAUAAAAGUGUGCAACUGUACGAAGUCGAAUCUAGUUGAGAAAUCGCUUAUGAAGGAAAAGAAAAUAGGAGAAACGUAUGAACGCCCUUUCCAACGAUUGUUAUCAUUUUAGAUAACGAUCAUUUUUAACGGCCGAUCGUCAGACCACGAAUCUCGCAAAGAAAAAAAAAAAGGGAAAAAAGUAAAGAAAAACAAAAAAAAAGAAAAAAGAGAGAAAAAAGAAAAAAUAAUGAAAAGUAAAAAAUAAGUAAGAAAAAGAAGGCGUAAACUCGACGAUCGGCGGUGUAAACAUAUUUUCGUAAGAAUUAUUGUUAUAUAGAAACUUAGCGUUACGUACUGAACGAGACCCAGACCACUUUUCGGAUUUAGCAUGUAAAUACUUAACUAUCGUAACGUAAUUUUUAGCGGAUUCAUUCGUUUCUUUGCUCCUUUCGAAUCCGACGUCUCACAUUACCCGGAUGGUAUUGCUCGAUUGAAAAAAAAAAAACGAAUUAUAAACUUACAUUAGAGGAAAUAACGAUAAAAAGACGUAACGUGUCGUUUUUCGUCGACGUUCCUUACCAAACAAAAUGGCGUCACUUAGCUCUCACCUUCGUGUCUCUUCGUUCGACGAGACCAUCUUGGUAGCUCGCGAUCGACCAGGUAAUUGUCACUAUUUUACGAAGAUGGGAAGGAGAGCGCUUAUAAAAGGGAAAUACCGUGCACAAAAGAACGACGAGCAAGAGCUUGCACGACUUCCUUCUCGUCGAUCGAUCGGCGAUCUUUUGGAACCGUACACGCAAUCGUUCUUCGCUCCAAAUUUCUCCCGAAACGACACACGCAAAGAAAACUUUAACGACUAUUUAUCGCUUAUUUUACUUUUUCAGACGCCACGAAAUAUUCGAAUUGUCGUAAAUAAAAUUGAAUUUCGCGAUUUCUCUUUGUUAGUUGAACUUUCCGACGUUUCUACCUAUAUAACCUAGAAGCGAAGAAACGAUGCACGCGAUUGGUCGAUCGUUGUCGCGCGAACCAAAGCUCUGCUCGUUCGAAUCUUCGAUCGGCAAACAGAGAAAUCGAUAUUUCUCUUGUUAUUCCUUUGAAUUCCAAUCGAAAGCGAUAGAAGGAAGCACGAGAGAGAAAGAGAAAGAGAGAGGGGGAAAGAGAUUAAAGGGAUUACGUAUAUUAGAAAUCGAGAUUCACUCUUCUUGUCGGUUGCUCGUCAAAGGUGACGAUAAGUGCCACAUACACUCGAUCAUCAUUUUACUUUGUAUUUUCGAUUACGUUUGCGUGCGUGUAAUUUUGUCCGAAUUGCACGAAUAUUAUAAUUAUAAUAAUAAUAAUAAUAAUAAUAAUUAUAAUAAUAAUAAUAAUUAUAAUAAUAAUAAUAAUAAUAAUAAUAAUAAUAAUAAUAAUAAUAAUAAUAAUAAUAAUAAUAAUAAUAAUAACGGAUAAAAGACGAAAAUACGAAGAGACCGAGUGGGCAGCAUUUUGCUGACUAGAGAAAAACUAACACAGAAAUUGUUGUUGUUGAUGUUGUUGUCAAAAAUGUGUCAAAUUAAAAUAUAAGGAUUUCAAACAUCUUAUGUUUGGGUGAUCGCAGAUUAACCCUUUCCAAUCGAAAUUCGAUGAAAAAUAUGCUUUUCGAAAAGAACCAUCGUUGAGCGUUUCACGUGGAAAAAUUAUUGCGAUGCACUUUUUAAAACUUACUGUUUUUAUUUAUAAAGUAAUUACCUCUCUUUUCAAUUACGGUCGAUCUAAGUAUUUUGUAUUUUACAUUACUUACACGAUAUUCGAGUUGACGCAAGAGACAGAGAGAGAGAGAGAGAGAGAGAGAGAGAGAGAGAGAGAGAGA